rnacentral:lncRNA from 1 species
UCUGAUGAGAACGGUGUCAUCACGUCGAGGCCCAAAUUGCACCCCUCACAUAAAACUGCCUCCUCUUCUCUCUUUCCUGCUUAUCCUUCUCUGGGAAGCAACGGCAUCCAACCGGGUCACCCCCCGUCACAGGCAGAAGAGGGGACAUGUGGCACAACUCGAGGAAACGCCGCUACCCAUGAGGACCAAACACAUCAUUUGCUGGACGAGCCUGAUGCCUAGCAGGACUCUUCAGUUUUGGAAAAAGCGCAUUUCUUGUGUUGAACUGAAUUUUGCCUCGGGCUUGUCCUGUUGCUCAGAAGUAAGACGCUCUAUCUGCAGCAGGCUCUGGAGAGAUCUCCGCUGUACAUUUGCUUCAGGGCUUUUCCUCAGUUAUCUGUGCCUGGACAAACACAAAACUGCAUUUCUUGGCCUCCUGCCCAUCUGGACUGGGGAAGCAUCCUGCUCCAUUGGCAAGACAUCAACCAGAGUACAGGAGAGUGAACAAAAAGAAUGGCCUGUUAUUCAUGUCUGGCGAAAAAUCCCUCGUAGGACUCCAGGUCUACUGCGAACCACAGAGAACACGCCUUAUGGGGCAGACCUCUUCCUGCAAUCGAGUUCAGCUCUUAGAACCCCCCAUGGGUGGCUGAUGGACAAAGCAAUAAAGCUGACUGCAUCCUGCUCCUUCCCAUGCCGUGGGGCCCUUUGCUGCUGGGGACCUGAAAGUAUUACAAAGCUCCCUGUGGAAGAGGUAGAGUCAGCAAUGGAAGCAGUUUGGGUCUGGAUGUGGAAGCUGCCUGCCCACUCGGCACACCCACGUUGGACGAUUAGGUGA